rnacentral:rRNA from 1 species
CCUACGGGUGACAGCAGUCGAGAAUCAUUCACAAUGGGGGAAACCCUGAUGGUGCGACGCCGCGUGGGGGAAUGAAGGUCUUCGGAUUGUAAACCCCUGUCAUGUGGGAGCAAAUUAAAAAGAUAGUACCACAACAGGAAGACACGGCUAACUCUGUGCCAGCAGCCGCGGUAAUACAGAGGGCUCAAGCGUUGUUCGGAAUCACUGGGGGGAAAGCGUGCGAUGGCUGUUUCGUAAGUCGUGUGUGAAAGGCGCGGGCUCAACCCGCGGACGGCACAUGAUACUGGGAGACUAGAGUAAUGGAGGGGGAACCGGAAUGCUAGGUGUAGCAGUGAAAUGCGUAGAUAUCGAGAGGAACACUAGUGGCGAAGGCGGGUUCCUGGACAUUAACUGACGCUGAGGCACGAAGGCCAGGGGAGCGAAAGGGAUUAGAUACCCCUGUAGUC